GAGAAUAAUACCCGAUAGAUCAUAACUCCUGGAAUGGUUUAUGGUCCAAAUGAUUUAUCGCCAUAGGAUGGGACUGCGGCCUAUCAGCUUGUUGGUGAGGUAAUGGCCCACCAAGGCUAUAACAGGUACGGGCUCUGAGAGGAGAAGCCCGGAGAUGGGUACUGAGACACGGACCCAGGCCCUAUGGGGCGCAGCAGGCGAGAAACCUUAGCAAUGUGCGAAAGCACGACUAGGUUAAUCCGAGUGAUUUCUGCUGAAGAAAUCUUUUGUCAGUUCUAAAUCUACUGGUGAAUAAGGGGUGGGCAAGUCUGGUGUCAGCCGCCGCGGUAAUACCAGCACCUCGAGUGGUUAGGAGGUUUAUUGGGCCUAAAGCAUCCGUAGCCGGCUACGCAAGUCUCCGGUUAAAUCCAUCUGCUUAACAGAUGGGCUGCCGGAGAUACUACAUAGCUAGGGAGCGGGAGAGGUAGACGGUAUUCGGUGGGUAGGGGUAAAAUCCUCUGAUCCAUUGAGGACCACCAGUGGCGAAGGCGGUCUACCAGAACGCGUUCGACGGUGAGGGAUGAAAGCUGGGGGAGCAAACCGGAUUAGAUACCCGGGUAGUCCCAGCUGUAAACGAUGCAAACU
rnacentral:rRNA from 1 species